rnacentral:rRNA from 1 species
UACGUAGGGUGCAAGCGUUUGUCCGGAUUUAUUGGGUUUAAAGGGUGCGUAGGCGGCUUGAUAAGUCCGUGGUGAAAGCCAACAGCUCAACUGUUGAACUGCCAUGGAUACUGUCAGGCUUGAGUACGGACGAGGUAGGCGGAAUGGAUCGUGUAGCGGUGAAAUGCAUAGAUACGAUCCAGAACACCGAUUGCGUAGGCAGCUUACUAGGCUGUAACUGACGCUGAGGCACGAAAGCGUGGGGAGCGAACAGG